CUCGGGAGUGUCGAGAUUAGCGAUGUGUGAUCGCCGGGGCGUAUCGUGAAGACGUUAUUUGAACGCGCACGAGCCGCUACUUCAAGAGGCCGUAAGUGAUGCUGGGUAAUAUCGCGGUGGUCAGCGAGCUUCCUUUUACGCGAGAACGCGCCAAGCAUCGCUGGUUCGCCAAGCUGGCUCUCGGAUAUCUGCGGGUGAAAGAACGACGAGAGUGACAUCGCGGAAGUCAUCGCGAGGAGGAAUCAUCGGGGGAUGUAGAGUUAGGAAUGCCGAGUGUCAUUAUUUCCCGCUUUCCCGUCCGUCGAGCUCCCGAAAGCGUUGAAUUAUGAAGAAAGACAUUUCAGAAUUAUGUAAUAUUUGAUUAUCUCAAUAUUUUACUUGCAUUUGAUUUUUAUUCUUAGUUUCAAUCAGCAGUGUUUUAAUUACGCGACUUACUGGAUGUGAAAUGAUUACAAUCUUUUUAUUACUUGUUUCAAUUGGCAUUGGAUAAUUCAUUUGGAGAUUCAAAACCAGCCAUAAAAUGAUUGGUACUCAUGGAUCGUUAUUUAGCUGUUUCGAGAUCAGUAUUUCUUGUUGCCUGAACUAAGAUAGACCAAACCGGAUUAUUCAUCAACUAUUUAUCAAAUGAUAAAGGAUUAUAAAUAUAUCUUGGCCUAAAUUUCAACUCAAAAUAUCUCUUUAUAUAUUCUCGAUAAGUUUAUUAAAUAUCCGUUAAAAUUGAACACAUAUCUCCUGUAUAAUGAAUUAUUUUACAUAUCUAGAAAUAUAUAAUGUAUGACUU